rnacentral:rRNA from 1 species
UACGGGGGGGGCAAGCGUUGUUCGGAAUUACUGGGCGUAAGGGCUCGUAGGUGGCCAACUAAGUCACACGUGAAAUCCCUCGGCUUAACCGGGGAACUGCGUGUGAUACUGGAUGGCUUGAGUUUGGGAGAGGGAUGCGGAAUUCCAGGUGUAGCGGUGAAAUGCGUAGAUAUCUGGAGGAACACCGGUGGCGAAGGCGGCAUCCUGGACCAAUACUGACGCUGAGGAGCGAAAGCCAGGGGAGCAAACGGG